GGUAGACUGGGUUAGACUGGUGUUAGGGUUAGACUGGGUUAGACGUUGGUGUUAGGGUUAGACUGUGGUGUUAGGGUUAGACUGGGUUAGACUGGUGUUAGGGUUAGACUGGGUUAGACUGGGGCGUUAGGGUUAGACUGGGUUAGACUGUGGUGUUAGGGUUAGACUGGGUUAGACUGGUGUUAGUGUUAGACUGGGUUAGACUGUGGUGUUAGGGUUAGACUGGGGCAUUAGGGUUAGACUGGUUUAGACUGUGGCGCUAGGGUUAGAUUGUUGUUAGGGUUAGACUGGGUUAGACUGUGGAUUUAGGGUUAGACUGGGUAAGACUGGUGUCAGGGUUAGACUGGGUUAGACUAUGGAGUUAGGGUUAGACUGGGUUAGACUGUGGUGUUAGGGUUAGACUGGGUUAGACUGUGGUGUUAGUGUUAGACUGGGUUAGACUGUGGUGUUAGGGUUAGACUGGGGCAUUAGGGUUAGACUGGUUUAGACUGUGGCGCUAGGGUUAGACUGUUGUUAGAGUUAGACUGGGUUAGACUGUGGAUUUAGGGUUAGACUGGGUAAGACUGGUGUCAGGGUUAGACUGGGUUAGACUAUGGAGUUAGGGUUAGACUGGGUUACACUGUGGUGUUAGGGUUAGACUGGGUUAGACUGUGGAGUUAGGUUUAGACUGGGUUAGACUGUGGAGUUAGGGUUAGACUGGGUUAGACUGUGGUGCUAGGGUUAGACUGGGUUUGACUGUGGUGUUAGUGUUAGACUGGGUUAGACUGUGGUGUUAGGGUUAGACUGGGGCAUUAGGGUUAGACUGGUUUAGACUGUAGCGCUAGGGUUAGACUGUUGUUAGGGUUAGACUGGGUUAGACUGUGGAUUUAGGGUUAGACUGGGUAAGACUGGUGUCAGGGUUAGACUGGGUUAGACUAUGGAGUUAGGGUUAGACUGGGUUACACUGUGGUGUU
ensembl:lncRNA